CCUGGAGCUAGACCUCAAAAGAUGAAAAUCCAACUUCACAACACUGUCUUCCACCUUGACAAGUGACAGAGUAAGCAGAGUUUGUAAUGUUGGCAGUAGAAUGUGUGUUCUGUCAGCAGCUAAGAGCACAGAUCUGGGUGCUGAUCAAGACCCUGAAGCAGGCCUGAGAAAACACAGAACUGAGAAUGUAAACUUCACGAAGGAAAAUUUUGUUCACUGCUGUGUGCCUCGAAAGGACAGUUCCAGACACUGAGAAGAAGAUAAAUAAAUAUUUGUGGAGUGAAUGAAAAAUUGAAUGAAAAGAUGACUGCCAGACCUCUGAGCACGAGCUGUUCCUGACAUUGUUUCUGUCAAUUUCCUAGAGACCCAGUCUCCAGUGAAGAUGGCUGGACUUUGGAGAGGUGCGGCAGCAGAGAUCCUUGGAGCAUCUGCCUGAAUUGACAAUGGAUAUAGAACAACCUACACAGACUUGCAGAACGUCUAUGUGCAAUCAUUGGGACCAUUAAAAAUACUUAGAGAGAGGAUCCUGUAAAAGAUUGAACAUCACGUUCAAGUGGAAUGAGAGACUUUGGUUACUGUUAUUUGGGGAAGUAAAGGGAAGACCCGUGAACACUGGAGUCUUUGUAAUGUGCUUAAUAAAAGGACAGAGAAAAUGAUUCACCUCAGGAGUACAAAACAACCAUUUCCAAAAUUAUUAAUCUCACCAUUUAGUUUCAUUUGGCAACCUCAGAAUGCUCAAUGCAAUACUUGAGUUGUAGCAGGUGUUUCUGUAAGUGAGCUUUUUAUAGAAUCAUGAAAUAACAAUGCUUUACUCCCUUAAUGGGUUCAAGUUCUGGGUGGAGAUAACGGGUCGAUGUUUGAUAGUUACCAGGGCCAAGUGCAGAUCAAGAAUUGCCUUAAAAAAUACAAUUCAGUAGGAAAAAGGAAAUGUUUAAUUUUCAAAUGUCUUUUAAAUUGGAAAAUAAGCUUUUCAGUUAAAAGAAAUAUAAGCACUUUGGUGAAUCCUACAGCAAUUUUUGGUACUAAUCCUUUCUUAUUGUAGACAUUUUCAAGCAUUAGUGCCGAAUGUUGCCAUUCUUCAGGCUGCACUAAUGAAGACUUCUAGGUAAGAGUCUUAGAGCACUGUGGGUUUAUGAGUAAGAAACAAUGAAAAAAAAGAAAACUCAAAAUAGUGGUUUUCAAUUUUAUUUUAAAUUAAAUAAAUUGUUUUUAAUUAAGUGACUUUUAGAACCAGUAGUCUCCUUUUUAAUCUGAUUUCCAAGGUAUUCAUGUUAAUUGAACCAGGUCAUUAUUUUCAAAUGUUUCUUAAAAAUUACUUUUUCUCAUAGAACAGAUGAAUAUUUUUUCUAAAAUGAUAAUAUAAUUUAUACUGACAACUACUCAGAAAAUCUGGCUAUAGAUUCUGUCCUUGGAUUGUCUAUUGAUCAGUCGGUUUUUGGAAAAAAACAUUUUAUUACUAUUUUUGUCUUAGAGGCCUCAUCAUCUAAACUGAACUUUAAAUCUUCCUUACAACAUAAAUUAUUUGAACUGAUUGGAGGCUGAUGUUGUUACGUUAAAAUUUAGAUUUUGGCAAAUCUCCUACAGUUUAGAAAUCUGAUAAGGAAAGCUUUGGCAGGCUGGCUUACAGCUUUAACUUAUAAGCGAUAACUGUGAGGGUCCUUGCUAAGCUCUGGAGGAAGUUUCAGUUGCUUUUUGUCUGUUAGGACAUAUAAGUUGCUGAUCUAUAAGUUAUUCUAAAGCAAUGCCUAUUGUCCUGGAAGUCUUGGGUUUUGAUAAUAUUUUGACUUCUUGAAGUACAGCUAGUUGGUCUGUUUAUUAAUUUCCUAAUUGGUGUUUAAAGGAUUCAUUAAAAAAAUGCCCUGGUCAUUUGACAAAUUAAUGAGCUAAUUUCAGACAGAGAUAAAAUAAUGAUGAUAAUAAUCAGGAUGAUGAGAUGUAAGCGACUGGGUGGCCCCUUCCGAUGGAGUCUUUGUGAAAGACUUCUCUGAGAGGGGACCUUGGAGCUGAGCAUGGAUGGAAACAUGAGGUGGCCUGGCAGAGAAGGAGCUGGAGGAGGAGCAGUGCAGGGACAAGGAAACAGGCAAGACAGAGGCCCUGGGGUGGGAAGAAGCUUCCGGUGCUUGAGGGAUAACAAAGAGGCAAGUGGAAGUGCAAUGGCUGAAGGGACGAGAAGUCUCAGGAGAGCCAGGAGAGAGAUUGAGGUUCAGACUGCGUGAGCCUUGCUGCAAGGAGUUCUGGUUAUGAACGUGGAAUUACGCCUAAGAUACGGUAGAGUGAAAAAACAUUGUUUCAAACAGCCUUAGUGGAAAGACGCCCUUCGUGUCAAACUGGAUACUCAUUUCCAUAUGUAUCAAUAAGCACAGAGAUAGUUUGGGGUGUGUGUUCAGCAAAACGCUAACACUGGAAAUCACUGGGUGCGGGACCUCAAGUGAUACUUGUUCUCCUUUUUGUAUUUUUCUGUAUUGCUUGAAUUGUUUACAAAAAACAACAGAGACAUAUCAAAUAUGCAUUUCUGAAGAAAGAGCUGUGGUCCUUUUCAGCUAAGAUUUGAUAUUAAGACAACAUUGACAUUAUUGUGGCUUCCAAACUCAUGAGAAGUGGGAAGAAGAGAGACUGAUGAAGAAGAGUUUAUUGACUUUCA